ACCCACAGACGAUGAAGUAUCCAUUCUCAGCUGAUGCUUUCCAGGCUGCGCCUGGACAGCAGUGCUGGGGAACUUCCCAGGGUUCCAGGGCCCGGUGGCCUGGGGGCUGCUUUCUCCCCACUAGGUGGGCUGCAUCUGGCCCUGGCUGGAGGCCUUAUUUUCAGGGGCCAUGACCCUCUUCCCCCAGGCCCUCCCCAGCUGACCACAGCCACCGGAGAGGAGAUCGGAACACAAUUGUCUCGGGGUGCAGGGCGCUGAGCAGGACGAAGGCUCAGGGACUCUCGUAUUGGGUCCUUGGGACUCGAGAAGUGCCAGAGGGGCGGCUGCUCUGGGACUCGGUGUUCACUGGCCUUUGUUUCACUUGAUUCUGGUCAAAUCCGAGAGCAGGAAACCCGGCCCUGGCCUGGCAGCUCUGCCUCCUGUGCCCACACGCUGGGGUCUGUCUUGUCGGGAGCAGUGGGGCAGACCCCUGACGGCCCUGGUCCCCUGCCGGUCACUUUUUCAGGGACAAGAAGCAGCCAGUACCACCGCCUGAGGAGGGGCUCAGCAGCAUUGCGUGUGUGGGCCUCGUGCUGCCUCAUGGAAAAUCCCCCCAGCCGCCCUCCAUGGUGGGUUCCUGAGGGUAGGACACGUCGCCACGGUUUUGUGGGAACCACGCCCCCCUGCUGGAAUUUUUCUGCUGUUGUGAAGUAGUUUUAUCCAUUUGCUUCUCUGCUGACCUUGCCAAGUUGUUUGAGGUGGAAUUAAACACCUCCCAGACC